ensembl:snRNA U6 U6 spliceosomal RNA
GUGCUCGCUUUGGCAGCACAAGUACUAAAAUUGGAAUGAUACAGGGAAGAUUAGCACAGCUCCUGUGCAAGGAUGACAUGCAAAGUCGUGAAGCUGUUCAUAUUUUU